UGGGGAAUAUUGCACAAUGGGCGCAAGCCUGAUGCAGCCAUGCCGCGUGUGUGAAGAAGGCCUUCGGGUUGUAAAGCACUUUCAGCGGGGAGGAAGGCGAUAAGGUUAAUAAACUUGUCGACUGACGUUACCCGCAGAAGAAGCACCGGCUAACUCCGUGCCAGCAGCCGCGGUAAUACGGAGGGUGCAAGCGUUAAUCGGAAUUACUGGGCGUAAAGCGCACGCAGGCGGUCUGUCAAGUCGGAUGUGAAAUCCCCGGGCUCAACCUGGGAAAUGCAUUCGAAACUGGCAGGCUAGAGUCUUGUAGAGGGGGGUAGAAUUCCAGGUGUAGCGGUGAAAUGCGUAGAGAUCUGGAGGAAUACCGGUGGCGAAGGCGGCCCCCUGGACAAAGGCUGACGCUCAGGUGCGAAAGCGUGGGGAGCAAACAGG
rnacentral:rRNA from 1 species